CCCCUCUUAGGGUCGCUCCUGGAGAGUUUCCAGUACUCUACCAGUCUCAACUAUGGGAGGGAGAGUCAAGCAGAGGCUUGCCCAUUCCAUUCCUAGCUUGACCAUUGGCUAGCUAGUGGAAGGCCAUCUGCUACAAGU